rnacentral:rRNA from 1 species
UACGUAGGGGCCGAGCGUUGUCCGGAUUCAUUGGGCGUAAAGAGCGUGUAGGCGGCCGCUUAAGUCCUGCGUGAAAUCUCGGAGCUCAACUCCGAGCGGUCGUGGGAAACUGGGCGGCUAGAGUGCGGGAGAGGAGAGUGGAAUUCCUGGUGUAGCGGUGAAAUGCGCAGAUAUCAGGAAGAACACCCGUGGCUAAGGCGGCUCUCUAGUACGUGACUGACGCUGAGACGCGAAAGCGUGGGGAGCGAACAGG